rnacentral:misc_RNA from 1 species
AACGCACGAGACCUGCGGACCUGCGGAAGGAUCAUUACCGAGUUUACAACUCCCAAACCCAAUGUGAACGUUACCAAACUGUUGCCUCGGCGGGAUCUCUGCCCCGGGUGCGUCGCAGCCCCGGACCAAGGCGCCCGCCGGAGGACCAACCAAAAACUCUUUCUGUAUACCCCCUCGCGGGUUUUUAUAUAUCUGAGCCUUUCUCGGCGCCCCUUCGUGGGCGUUUCGAAAAUGAAUCAA